rnacentral:rRNA from 1 species
UACGUAGGGGGCAAGCGUUGUCCGGAUUUAUUGGGCGUAAAGAGCGUGUAGGCGGCCAAGCAGGUCCGCUGUGAAAACUCGAGGCUCAACCUCGAGACGUCGGUGGAAACCGUUUGGCUAGAGUCCGGAAGAGGAGAGUGGAAUUCCCGGUGUAGCGGUGAAAUGCGCGGAUAUCGGGAAGAACACCCGUGGCGAAGGCGGCUCUCUGGGACGGUACUGACGCUGAGACGCGAAAGCGUGGGGAGCGAACAGG